ACUCCUACGGGAGGCAGCAGUAGGGAAUCUUCCACAAUGGGCGCAAGCCUGAUGGAGCAACACCGCGUGAGUGAAGAAGGGUUUCGGCUCGUAAAGCUCUGUUGUUAAAGAAGAACACGUAUGAGAGUAACUGUUCAUACGUUGACGGUAUUUAACCAGAAAGUCACGGCUAACUACGUGCCAGCAGCCGCGGUAAUACAUAGGUGGCAAGCGUUAUCCGGAUUUAUUGGGCGUAAAGAGAGUGCAGGCGGUUUUCUAAGUCUGAUGUGAAAGCCUUCGGCUUAACCGGAGAAGUGCAUCGGAAACUGGAUAACUUGAGUGCAGAAGAGGGUAGUGGAACUCCAUGUGUAGCGGUGGAAUGCGUAGAUAUAUGGAAGAACACCAGUGGCGAAGGCGGCUACCUGGUCUGCAACUGACGCUGAGACUCGAAAGCAUGGGUAGCGAACAGGAUUAGAUACCCUGGUAGGAUAGCG
rnacentral:rRNA from 1 species